CCUACGGGAGGCAGCAGUGGGGAAUUUUGGACAAUGGGCGAAAGCCUGAUCCAGCCAUGCCGCGUGUGUGAAGAAGGCCUUUUGGUUGUAAAGCACUUUAAGCGAGGAGGAGGCUACUUAGACUAAUACUCUAGGAUAGUGGACGUUACUCGCAGAAUAAGCACCGGCUAACUCUGUGCCAGCAGCCGCGGUAAU
rnacentral:rRNA from 1 species